UGUAGGGGGAAGAGGCGGACAGUGGCUGAGAUGGAGCGGGGGAGGACAAGCAGGUGAGGUGGUUGGGCUUAGAAACGCAGCGGCUGGGGAUCAGAGGCUCAUCCUGUUUCCCAGGACCCCAGUAGGGACCACAGGUGGGACCAAGCUGCAACAACCAGAAAGGUCUCCAGGCCUUCCUCUGUGGGAAGGCAAAACUCAGCCCUGGUGAGAAGCCCCGCCUUAGAGGGCUGCAGGCCCGCCCCAAAGGCCCGGAGUUCCACUU